GACGUAGGGCGCAAGCGUUGUCCGGAUUUAUUGGGCGUAAAGAGCUCGUAGGCGGCUUGCCACGUCUGCCGUGAAAACCAGCAGCUUAACUGUUGGCUUGCGGUUGAUACGGGUUGGCUGGAGUCCGGUAGGGGAGUGGGGAAUUCCUGGUGUAGCGGUGAAAUGCGCAGAUAUCAGGAGGAACACCGGUGGCGAAGGCGCCACUCUGGGCCGGUACUGACGCUGAGGAGCGAAAGCUAGGGGAGCAAACGGG
rnacentral:rRNA from 1 species